rnacentral:rRNA from 1 species
AUACUGAGGGUGCAAGCGUUAAUCGGAAUUACUGGGCGUAAAGCGCGCGUAGGCGGUUUAUCAAGUCAGAUGUGAAAGCCCUGGGCUUAACCUGGGAACUGCAUUUGAAACUGAUAAACUAGAGUUUGGUAGAGGGUGACGGAAUUCCAGGUGUAGCGGUGAAAUGCGUAGAUAUCUGGAGGAACAUCAGUGGCGAAGGCGGUUGCCUGGACGGAUACUGACGCUGAGACGCGAAAGCGUGGGGAGCAAACAGGAUUAGAAACCCGAGUAGUCC